ACCUACCAGCACAAUGAGUGAACAUGCUGAGUAGAAUCAGAGCAGUGUUCAGGACGCAUCUCUCAGUAUUAGUCUCUAGGCCUUGCCUAAAGAGAAAACUCUUACACCCCCAAUUUUCCCGAGGAGAUCUUCGAGAACAGCGCUGUCGUCUCCUGACCGCCCAGCAUGCUCUCAGUGACCCUUCUCCUGCUCGGAAUGCCCUUCACCCUGAGAGGAAGCAGCGCCCAGUCAGUGGCCCAGCCUGACCGCCAAGUGGCCAUCUUGGAAGGAGGUCGUGUGCUGCUGAGGUGCAACUAUACCUACAGCGGAGCACCUUAUCUCUUCUGGUACGUCCAGCAUCCUGGCCAAGGCCUCCAGCUUCUGCUCAGAUACAUGUCAGGUGCUCCCGUGGUUACAGGCAUCAGAGGCUUCAAGGCUGAAUUUAAGAAGAGCGAAACCUCGUUCCACCUGGAGAAGGCCUCAGCGCACCCCAGUGACACAGCCACUUACUACUGCGCUGUGAGCGGCACAGUGCCUGGGCCCCCAAGGGGAGCUGAGCACAAACCUCCUGAGACUGCCUGUGCGUGCAGAGCGCAGCUGACCUGCUUUAGCGAGGUCUCAUGCUAUAGAGGAGAGGAGGAGCGAGAAGCAAAGAUAUGGGGUCUGUUUGAUCCUGAAAAGAAAUAGGAACAUUUGCAAUUCUUUCCUCUUCACUUUCCUGUCAGUUAAGAAGCAGAGUGGAGAGACUCACGUGGAUAUUCUCCUGCAGUUCUACAAGGUCAGGGCUCUGCUUUCCUGUAGCCAGUGCUGAGAUCUUGGUCUUUCCCGUUCUUACCUCUAAAAUGCUCGUGCUACUACCUUUUGCUUUUCACCUGAUAGUAACUUCAGAGUUAUCUUUGGCUUUCAUUUGUUUUUUUUCCUUCUAUUUCCUCACAUUAUAAUCCGGUGUUCCUACCUUAAUACUAACCCCUAAUGUAGUUACUGUUACAUCCUUGGUCAGCGACAGCCUUCUCCCUGACCUUCCUGCUUGACUUCUGACACAUUCUUAAUACAGCAGGCAUGAAGUAACAGUGAGAUCCCUUAAGUCAUAGAUUCUGUCAUUUCUUGAUAAAAUCCUUGCAAUAGCUUCCUAUUUCUCUCAGGGUAAAUCAAAGACUUUAUAAUGUCCUAUAAGAUGGGAUCUGUCCCCCCUUACAUUUUUAAAAAGCUGAGAAAAAAAAAUUCUGUCAAUCAUGAAUUCUAUAGCUUGUCAAAUACCUUAUAGAACUUUGUAACAAAAUAAAGAGAUUUUGGAUAAAGGGAAAUGGAGAGAAUUCAUCAGGAAUAGACUUGUUCUAAAACAGAGAAGGAAGUUCUUUAGGCUGAAGGGAAAUGAUGCCGGAGGAACAUUUGGAACUCCAAGAAGGAAGAGCAGCAGAAUAAUGAGCAUAUGCUAAAAUGUAUGGAACAGUUUUAAUUCUGUUUUUGAAAAGCUGCUCUGAGCUAGAAAUACUAUAUAAAAACUACACACAUUUGAUGUGUACAGUGUGAUGAGUUUAUAAAUUUGUAUACAACCUUGAAGCCAGGAUCACAUCUGAGGAAUGAGACUUAUCCAUCCCUCUACAAGUUUUGGUUUUGGUGGUUGCUAUUGUAGCUGCUGGAGCAGCUCUCAAUGUCAAAUCUGUUCUCUCAAAGUUUAGAUGUACAACGUUAUGUUCUUCCCUGUAGGCCCUGUGUUGAGGAGAAGAGCUCUAGAAGUUACCCUUGCAAAAAUGAGCCGUGUCUCUACUGCACAAUAAUUCCCUAUUUGUCCCUUUCCAUUCCAGUCCCUGGAAGCCAAAAUGGUAUUCUCUUCUCGUAUGCUUUUGAUAAUUUUAGAUAUUUAUAUAAGUAGAACCAUGCCGUAUAUCUUUCUGCAACUGGCUUAUUUCAUUUAGAGUAAUGUCCUAAACGUUCAUCUAUUCAUCAUGAAUUACAGGAUAUCUGUCUUUCUCAAGGCUGAACAAUAUCAAGUUAUAUCAAAAUACUGUAUUUUCACCCAUUCAUCUGUCAGCAUACUUUUAGCUUGUUUCUACAUUUUGGUUAUCUAGGAUUACGUAGACAGGACAAUGAAAUGAAAUACCACACACAAAGAUUAUCUCAAAAUUUAUUGACGCUUUAAACAUAAGACCUAAAGCUAUAAAAACACUAGAAAAACGUGGAGAAAAAUAUUCAUGAAAUUGAUCUUGGCAAUAAUUUUUUUAUAUGACAAAAAGGUGCAGACAACAAAAGCAAAUAUACUCAUGUAUAAUUGUAUUGCACUAAAAAGCCUCUGCACAGUACCUGAUGGAAUGUGGGAAAAUAUUUGCAAACUGCAAAUCUUACAGAGUAUCAGAGUCCAAAAUACACAAGAAACUACUGUAAUACAAUAGCAAGAAUGCAACCUUACUAAAAAAUGGCCAUGUAACCUGAAUAGACACUUUUUUCCAAAGAAGAUAUACUCAGUAGCCAACAAGUAUACAAAAAGUUGUUCCAUAUCAGUUUAAAUCAUCAGGGAAAUGGAAAUCAAGAUUACAAUGGGAUGUCACCUUACAUGUUAUGAUGACAAUUGUAUACAAAAUAUAGAAAGAGAUAAAUGUGGAUGGAGCUGUGUGAAACUAGAAUUUUUAUGCACUGAGAUUACCUUGAGAAUGUAAAAUGGUCCAGCUGCUAUCCCUUCCUCAUAAAAUCAAAAAUAGAACUAUGACAUAGUAGUUAGUAAACUCUGGGUAUAUAUUCAAAAGGAUUGAAAUUCAGAUCACACAUGAAUACCAGCACUUCUUAGUUAACUGAAACAUUAUUCACAAUUCUAUUGUUUUGACUUAUUUAAAAUGUUUCUGACUUGUUGAAAUCUAUUGUUAUAACAUUGCUUGUGAAGGUUUUCACAUUCUGAGCAUGGAAGACAGCUGACAACUGGAACAUAAAGAAGAGGAGGGGAUGUAACCUAAACAGUUGUAAGUUUCAUGUAUUUGUAUGAAUAGUGUGCUUAAAUAACACUGUAUAGACUGUGAAAGGUUAAAGAACAGGCUUGAUGCAAUCCUAACAGAAAUCACUAAAAACAUAAGAAGAAAUAGUUAAAAUCAGCUAGAUGAAUUCUGUAAGUAGAUAAAUAGCUAAACAUAAGUAGAUACACAAAUCAGGUUCAUCUCAGUGAAGUAGAGGUUAGAAGAGUUGCCAAGAGAGCCUGGGAGGUGUGGGGGAGGGGCAGAGAGCUUGAGGUCCAUGGGCGCAGGGAUGCAGUUGGACAGAAGGAAAAACUUCUAAUAUUCUAUGACAGUGGGAUAAGGAUGGAGGGUAGCAGUUAUUUCAAAAUAGCUAAAAGAGACAGUAAUAAAUAAUGUAUAGCUGAGGUGAGAGGUAUACCAGUUAUCCUGAUCUUACCAUUACACCUUGUACAUGUGUUGAAGCCAUGCUCCAUCCCAUAAAUAUGUACAAAUUCUAUAUGUCCAUUUAAAACUUUUAAA